GCUAUUUGCUGACGACCGGCGCACGGGUGCGUAACGCGUAUAGAACCUACCUUUUACAGGGGAAUAGCCCAGAGAAAUUUGGAUUAAUGCCCCAUAGUAUUAUUGAUUGGCAUCAAUUAAUAAUUAAAGCUUCGGCGGUAAAAGAUGGCUAUGCGUUCUAUUAGCUAGAUGGUAAGGUAACGGCUUACCAUGGCAACGAUAGAUAGGGGUCCUGAGAGGGAGAUCCCCCACACUGGUACUGAGACACGGACCAGACUCCUACGGGAGGCAGCAGUGAGGAAUAUUGGACAAUGGAGGUAACUCUGAUCCAGCCAUGCCGCGUGCAGGAAGACGGCCCUAUGGGUUGUAAACUGCUUUUAUAUGGGAAGAAACCCAACUACGUGUAGUUGGCUGACGGUACCAUAAGAAUAAGCACCGGCUAACUCCGUGCCAGCAGCCGCGGUAAUACGGAGGGUGCAAGCGUUAUCCGGAAUCAUUGGGUUUAAAGGGUCCGUAGGCGGACUAAUAAGUCAGGGGUGAAAUCCAACAGCUUAACUGUUGAACUGCCUUUGAUACUGUU
rnacentral:rRNA from 1 species